rnacentral:rRNA from 1 species
AAUGAACGUUGGCGGCGUGGAUUAGGCAUGCAAGUCGUGCGAAAAGCCCUUCGGGGUGGAUUCGCGGCGAAAGGGAGAGUAACGCGUGGACUACCUACCCUCAGGUCCGGGAUAAUGCCCAAAAGGCAGGUAAUACCGGAUAACAUCUCAGGAUCAAAGGUGAGAUUCCGCCUGGGGACGGGUCCGCGUCCUAUUAGCUUGUUGGUGGGGUGACGGCCUACCAAGGCGACGAUGGGUACCGGGUGUGAGAGCAUGGCCCGGCUCACUGGGACUGAGACACUGCCCAGACACCUACGGGUGGCUGCAGUCGAGAAUCUUCGGCAAUGGGCGCAAGCCUGACCGAGCGACGCCGCGUGCGGGAUGAAUGCCUUCGGGUUGUAAACCGCUGUCGGAGGGGAGGAAAUGCCAUGGGGUACUCUCCAUGGUUUGACCUAUCCUCGGAGGAAGUACGGGCUAAGUUCGUG